rnacentral:lncRNA from 1 species
UGGGCUUCUGUUCUUGUCAAGGUUCGCUGUACCGGUACCAGACGGCAUGCCGGUCCCGAACUAGUACAGUACGGUACCGGUACCAUACCAUACCGACACACGAUACGUCUAGGCAUACCGGUCUGGUACUGGUACAUAAUAUUUUUUUUGAUUUUUAAAUUUUUUUUUGGAUUUUUGAAGUUAAUAAUUGAUAAAUACAACUUUAAUAUGAUAUUAUAUUGCAUAUUAUUGACAUAUUUG